rnacentral:rRNA from 1 species
GAUGAACGCUGGCGGCGUGCCUAAUACAUGCAAGUCGAGCGAACGGACGAGGAGCUUGCUUCUCUGAUGUUAGCGGCGGACGGGUGAGUAACACGUGGAUAACCUACCUAUAAGACUGGGAUAACUUCGGGAAACCGGAGCUAAUACCGGAUAAUAUUUUGAACCGCAUGGUUCAAAAGUGAAAGACGGUCUUGCUGUCACUUAUAGAUGGAUCCGCGCUGCAUUAGCUAGUUGGUAAGGUAACGGCUUACCAAGGCAACGAUGCAUAGCCGACCUGAGAGGGUGAUCGGCCACACUGGAACUGAGACACGGUCCAGACUCCUACGGGAGGCAGCAGUAGGGAAUCUUCCGCAAUGGGCGAAAGCCUGACGGAGCAACGCCGCGUGAGUGAUGAAGGUCUUCGGAUCGUAAAACUCUGUUAUUAGGGAAGAACAUAUGUGUAAGUAACUGUGCACAUCUUGACGGUACCUAAUCAGAAAGCCACGGCUAACUACGUACCAGCAGCCGCGGUAAUACGUAGGUGGCAAGCGUUAUCCGGAAUUAUUGGGCGUAAAGCGCGCGUAGGCGGUUUUUUAAGUCUGAUGUGAAAGCCCACGGCUCAACCGUGGAGGGUCAUUGGAAACUGGAAAACUUGAGUGCAGAAGAGGAAAGUGGAAUUCCAUGUGUAGCGGUGAAAUGCGCAGAGAUAUGGAGGAACACCAGUGGCGAAGGCGACUUUCUGGUCUGUAACUGACGCUGAUGUGCGAAAGCGUGGGGAUCAAACAGGAUUAGAUACCCUGGUAGUCCACGCCGUAAACGAUGAGUGCUAAGUGUUAGGGGGUUUCCGCCCCUUAGUGCUGCAGCUAACGCAUUAAGCACUCCGCCUGGGGAGUACGACCGCAAGGUUGAAACUCAAAGGAAUUGACGGGGACCCGCACAAGCGGUGGAGCAUGUGGUUUAAUUCGAAGCAACGCGAAGAACCUUACCAAAUCUUGACAUCCUUUGACAACUCUAGAGAUAGAGCCUUCCCCUUCGGGGGACAAAGUGACAGGUGGUGCAUGGUUGUCGUCAGCUCGUGUCGUGAGAUGUUGGGUUAAGUCCCGCAACGAGCGCAACCCUUAAGCUUAGUUGCCAUCAUUAAGUUGGGCACUCUAAGUUGACUGCCGGUGACAAACCGGAGGAAGGUGGGGAUGACGUCAAAUCAUCAUGCCCCUUAUGAUUUGGGCUACACACGUGCUACAAUGGACAAUACAAAGGGCAGCGAAACCGCGAGGUCAAGCAAAUCCCAUAAAGUUGUUCUCAGUUCGGAUUGUAGUCUGCAACUCGACUACAUGAAGCUGGAAUCGCUAGUAAUCGUAGAUCAGCAUGCUACGGUGAAUACGUUCCCGGGUCU